CUACGGGCUGCUGCAGUGAGGAAUAUUGCGCAAUGGAGGAAACUCUGACGCAGCCAUGCCGCGUGAGUGAAGAAGGCCUUAGGGUUGUAAAGCUCUUUCAACGGUGAAGAUAAUGACGGUAGCCGUAGGAGAAGCCCCGGCUAAAUUCGUGCCAGCAGCCGCGGUAAUACGAAUGGGGCAAGCGUUGUUCGGAAUCACUGGGCUUAAAGCGUGCGCAGGCGGACAUGAAAGUCAGGAGUGAAAUCCCAGGGCUCAACCCUGGAACUGCUUUUGAAACUCCAUGUCUAGAAUCCGGUAGAGGUUAGUGGAAUUCCGAGUGUAGAGGUGAAAUUCGCAGAUAUUCGGAGGAACACCAGUGGCGAAGGCGACUAACUGGACCGGUAUUGACGCUCAGGCACGAAAGCGUGGGGAGCAAACAGGAUUAGAUACCCUCGUAGUC
rnacentral:rRNA from 1 species